rnacentral:tRNA from 1 species
GGUCCUGACUAGCUCAACUGGUGGAGCAUGGCAUUAAAGUUGCCAGGGCUAGGUGUUUCUAUUCCCACUGGGACCA